ACUUGUUAAAUAUUCCCCAGAGCAAUGAAAUCACAGGUCUCAGUGGCCUACCAGCCUGUUACCGUCCUCAGAAGCAGCCAAGUAAAAGUGGCUUCUGUUUGUUCCUGCUUCUAUCUUCUCCUAAUCACUCUAUACCAUUUCACACCUGUAACUUUUCUGACAAAAUCGCUACCCACAGCAGAAUCAUCCAAGAUGUGGCUCCUGUCCUGUCUCAUGGGCUGCCACUGAUGUGUGCCAUCCAUUCUGAUCGCUGAGCUCAUGUUGUCUCUGACAAGAAUAUGAGCUGGAAAAACACUGUAGGUUUAUUGUCAAGCCCAUAUGUAAUUUGAAACUGAAAACCUCAGUCUUUGAUCUGCAAACUGAGCUAAUCUGCCAUGGAAAUGUCCAGACAAGAGUAAAUUUUACUUCAGAAUAUUAUUUCCAUUAAUUUUUUUAUCUGCACUUUUAAAUGUAUUUAAGUAUUUCCUCUUUCUGUGUUACAACAAGUGCUGAUUUGCUGACUUUUAGAUGACUCUGGAGAAGUGUACGCGAGGAGUUUGGAACAGACCCCACUGAGCUCGCUCAGAUCACCAACCACAGGAUCUGGUCCAGUGGCUCCAGCUGUAUUUCACUUGUCUAAGAGUAUAAGAUGGAAACAACUUUAACCACCAUGGAUUUUAAAAUCCACUUUCCCUAUAAAAAGAUCAUCCAGUGGUUGAAAAGACGGAAGUCACCUCAGAACCAGCAAACCUCACAUAGUUUAAUUCAGCAAACUAGACAGGAGAACAAAGAGUAAAAUACUGUUUUCAUAUAUCUAAGGUGUCUCUUUCUUCAAUUUACAGAAAGUUUAAACUACCUGUGUCAAAAAUGUCCUAGCUGGAAAACAUAUUAUGGCUCUUCCAGUAGCAAUGAAUUGGGAAUAAGUGAUGUCAUUUGCUUGUUUCAGAUCCUAAAGAAGGUCAACAUCUCUACUGAAGCCCUGGCAUUACUGGCUAUCCACUCUGUGUGACUGUGACUUUGGAAAAAUGGACAGAGAGCUAAAUUCAGAAGACUGGAGGAAGAGUAGACAUCCAAACUUAAAGAUGGUUUCCAAAAGGAUAAGGUGCAAGAUGACUAAGAAGAAAACAUAGGAAACCCCCAGCACGAAAUAUUGAUGAAGUGUAUCUAGUGUGGUCUUUUUGCUUGUCUCUCACUUUAUAUUUCAAAAUAAUUCAGUAGAAAGUUAUACCUAUCUGGAAUCUGGGGUUUAUAGUUAUGGCAAUGAAAUGUUCUACUUGAAGAAAUUUAUUUUUUCCCUUAAUGGAUAUUACAUUUCAUCACUAAUGGGAUCUGCCUCUGUUCCUUUACACAUACCUGCUGCCUCCUGGUUGAAGAUGCCUGUUCAAAAGAUAACCACAUUUCAGUCAUAGACCUAGUGGUGAGGAAAACUGGUCUUUCAAUGUUAACAGUUGUAUGAAUACUAAUGAAACACAGCUGCUCUGCCAUUUUUAUGUUAACUUGCAUCCAUAAUAAUAUUUUAUAGACAUUUCCUGAAAGUUACAGUAGCGGGUGUAUGCUAGCCACAAAGAGACUAAUCAUUCUAGUUACCCCACACCAGUUAACAUUUGCAAACCCUGACUUCUAGAAGGCACAGUUUGAAAGUAUUGAUACAUUCAUUGCCCUCAACUGACUUGAUUGAGGGAACGGAAAUCUGUUGACAUCUAGCAGCCCCUAAAGUAUUUCAGCAAACCUACUUUUGUUUUUGCUUUUGCAUUUGUGGCUUUACAUGUGUUACUGAGCAUUGCUUCUGCUAUGAAGUUAUCAGUGGUCAAUGGCAGAUGUGUGGACUGAGUCACCGUCAGCUCUUGCAUUCAACAGCUGUGUGUUCACUAGUUUUUGCACAUCACUUCAAACUCAGAAAUGAAAAUUACAAACUGGAACACAACUUUGGAAAAUCACCAGCCCAUGAUUUAAUAUGCAAGUUGCCACCAUGCUAAGGUGCUCUGUAGUUUCAUGUUUCAAGGAUUCAAGGUUUAUGCCUUGAGUCAGGAGACCUGUCCCUUUCAAAACUGUGGUUAGUUUUCUCUAAUGUGUUAUAAAUGUCUAAUUCGAGCCUUGUAUCCUGCUGUGCUCUUUGUCUGAAUGCUCCAUUUGAAAGUGGAGUUCAUGGAUUUAAUUUUCACUGUGAAAAUUAUACUCUUUUUUAUCAUUUUGCAGUUCAUUCAAUUCAAUUCAGUUUAAUGUUCAUAAAGUAACUACCCUACCCAUGUUGAUAUCAAAAGAAAAUGUGAUGAGAACUUAUUGCUAUAUCUUCAUUUAGCCAUUCGUUAAUUCCUGUACUUGUAUCUCUUUUCUCCUUCCUUAGCAUUCCUCAAAAGCCAUUGUGUUUUUUCUCAACUGACUUCAUGAGAAACUGUGAGGUUCUCAUGGUGCUGUUGGGAAAUGUAUAUUGUAGAAGCUCAUUCAAGUGAUUUAUGCAAUUAGGAAAAUGUACAAG